rnacentral:rRNA from 1 species
UACGGGGGGAGCAAGCGUUGUUCGGAUUUACUGGGCGUAAAGGGCGCGUAGGCGGCCACUGCAAGUCGGUUGUGAAAUCUCCGGGCUUAACCCGGAAAGGUCAAUCGAUACUGCAGGGCUAGAGUGCAGAAGGGGCAACUGGAAUUUGUAGUGUAGCAGUGAAAUGCGUAGAUAUUACAAGGAACACCAAUGGCGAAGGCAGCUUGCUGGGCUACUCCUGACACUGAGGUACGAAAGCGUGGGGAGCGAACAGG